UACCUGCAGCUCAAGUGGUGGCCGCUAUUAUUGGGCCUAAAACGUUCGUAGCCGGCUGAGUAAAUGCUUGGGUAAAUCGUGCCGCUUAACGGUACGAAUUCCGGGUAGACUGCUCAGCUUGAGACCGGGAGAAGCUAGAGGUACUCCUGGGGUAGAGGUGAAAUUCUGUAAUCCUGGGGGGACCACCAGUGGCGAAGGCGUCUAGCUAGAACGGGUCUGACGGUGAGGGACGAAACCCUGGGGCGCAAACCGGAUUAGAUACCCGGGUAGUCCAGGGCGCAAACGCUGCUUGCUUGAUGUUAGCUGGGCUCCGGGCUCAGCUAGUGUCGGAGAGAAGUUGUUAAGCAAGCUGCCUGGGAAGUACGAUCGCAAGAUUGAAACUUAAAGGAAUUGGCGGGGAGCACAGCAACGGGUGGAGCGUGCGGUUU
rnacentral:rRNA from 1 species